GGGGAACAAGAGUCCUGUUUUCCUCUGCGCUUUGUUACCUAACAAGACAGAGUCGUGCCAUUUGGAUUUAGAGUUUGAGGAGGCAGAAGAUGUGGUUUUUUCUGUUCUUGGUCCUAGAACUGUUUAUUUGACUGGUUACUAUGUGGGAAAUAGUCGGCGAGCAAAUGUAAACAGUGAUACAGAGUCAUAUGGAGAGGAUAUUGCAGACACGGAAACAGGGGAAUCCUGCCAUGACAGUGAUGAUGACAAGU
rnacentral:misc_RNA from 1 species